UUUAGUUUCUAAUAAGAAACCAAUACAACAAGAAAAAUUAGAUGGAUGAUUUAUUGGAUUACUUCUUUUGUUCUGUUUAGUUUUCAGGGAUUGUUUUCUCUGAGCAAUUGUUCUUUAAAAACUGGAUAAUAGACAUCUUUUAAAAAAAAUAAGAUAAUUUUUAUCUUGCAAUAGGAUAUUCUAAAA
rnacentral:misc_RNA from 1 species